rnacentral:rRNA from 1 species
AUGGGUUGCCACAAAGCCGGCACACACCACCGUUGGGGCGUCAGAUCUUCAACCACCUCGCCGGAGUUGCUACCAGCGGUGGUGCUGGAUGCUACAACCACCUUUCGAUGGAGCUGCAUCCACAGGCGUCUGACAACGGAGAGCUGCAACCGUGCACUCGAUGCGGUCCGGCAGCAACCGCCGCAGGUCUCUGACCAUGGCGCGGCUCGAGUUUUUUGUGUGUGUUGGAAUCAGGUUCUUUUUUUGCUCGAAACAUCACUAAAUUUUCCUACCAGUGUCUUCGAUUUUCGUUGGAUACCAACCCAGAUUUUGCUCCCAUGUUUGUUUUUGUUGGAAAUAGCGUGUUAA